UACGGGGGGGGCAAGCGUUGUUCGGAAUUACUGGGCGUAAAGGGCUCGUAGGCGGCCAACUAAGUCAGACGUGAAAUCCCCAGGCUCAACCUGGGAACUGCGUCUGAUACUGGAUGGCUUGAAUUCGGGAGAGGGAUGCAGAAUUCCAGGUGUAGCGGUGAAAUGCGUAGAUAUCGGGAGGAACACCAGUGGCGAAGGCGGCCAUCUGGAUCAACACUGACGCUGAGGCACGAAAGCGUGGGGAGCAAACAGG
rnacentral:rRNA from 1 species